AAUCUUCCACAAUGGGCGAAAGCCUGACGGCGCAAUACUGCGUGAGGGAGGAAGGCUCUUGGGUUGUAAAUUUUUUUUCUCUAGGAAGAACACAAUGAGCCUACUGGAGGAAUAAGCAUCGGCUAACUCUGUGCCAGCACCCCCGCUAAUACGGAGGAUGCAAGGGUUAUUGUGAAUGAUUGGGCGUAAAGCGUCCGCAGGUCGUUAUGCAAGUCAGCUGUUAAAGAGUGGAGCUCAACUCCAUAAGGGCAGCGGAAAAUGCGUGACUAGAGUACGUUCGGGGUAGAGGGAAUUCCUGGUGUAGGGGGGAAAGGAGUAGAUAUUAGGAAGAACAACGGCGGGGAAGGAGGUCUAUUAGGCCGUAAUGACAAUGAGGGACGAAAAAAAGGGAGCGAAUGGGAGAGAUACCCCAGUAGUCUUAGCUGCA
rnacentral:rRNA from 1 species